UACGUAGGGUGCAAGCGUUGUCCGGAAUUAUUGGGCGUAAAGAGCUCGUAGGCGGUUUGUCGCGUCCGCUGUGAAAGUCCAGGGCUCAACCCUGGAAUGCCGGUGGAAACUGUCAGGCUCGAGUCCGGAAGAGGCGAGUGGAAUUCCUGGUGUAGCGGUGAAAUGCGCAGAUAUCAGGAGGAACACCGGUGGCGAAGGCGGGUCUCUGGGCCGAUACUGACGCUGAGGAGCGAAAGCGUGGGGAGCAAACAGG
rnacentral:rRNA from 1 species